CUAUCUCUAGUUAGUCACGGUCUUCCGUUCCCCACACCUUGUAGGUCGGAAGCUAAGAGGGAACCCGGUGCGCCGAAACGGCUACUCCGGGGCUGCCCCCGCAACUGUAAGCGGCGAGCGGUUGUCAUCAUGGUCACUGGCGCGACACAGCGCCGGGAAGGCCGACGGCCGCAGUGACCCGUGAGCCAGGAGACCUGCCGCGACUGAACGAAAGUCC
rnacentral:ncRNA from 2 species